rnacentral:rRNA from 1 species
GUAGCUUGCUACCCGCUGACGAGCGGCGGACGGGUGAGUAAUGCAUAGGAAUCUGCCCGAUAGUGGGGGAUAACCUGGGGAAACCCAGGCUAAUACCGCAUACGUCCUACGGGAGAAAGGGGGCUUCGGCUCCCGCUAUUGGAUGAGCCUAUGUCGGAUUAGCUAGUUGGUAAGGUAAUGGCUUACCAAGGCAACGAUCCGUAGCUGGUCUGAGAGGAUGAUCAGCCACAUCGGGACUGAGACACGGCCCGAACUCCUACGGGAGGCAGCAGUGGGGAAUAUUGGACAAUGGGGGCAACCCUGAUCCAGCCAUGCCGCGUGUGUGAAGAAGGCCCUCGGGUUGUAAAGCACUUUCAGCGAGGAAGAACGCCUAUCGGUUAAUACCCGGUAGGAAAGACAUCACUCGCAGAAGAAGCACCGGCUAACUCCGUGCCAGCAGCCGCGGUAAUACGGAGGGUGCAAGCGUUAAUCGGAAUUACUGGGCGUAAAGCGCGCGUAGGUGGCUUGAUAAGCCGGUUGUGAAAGCCCCGGGCUCAACCUGGGAACGGCAUCCGGAACUGUCAGGCUAGAGUGCAGGAGAGGAAGGUAGAAUUCCCGGUGUAGCGGUGAAAUGCGUAGAGAUCGGGAGGAAUACCAGUGGCGAAGGCGGCCUUCUGGACUGACACUGACACUGAGGUGCGAAAGCGUGGGUAGCAAACAGGAUUAGAUACCCUGGUAGUCCACGCCGUAAACGAUGUCGACCAGCCGUUGGGUGCCUAGAGCACUUUUGUGGCGAAGUUAACGCGAUAAGUCGACCGCCUGGGGGAGUACGGCCGCAAGGUUAAAACUCAAAUGAAUUGACGGGGGCCCGCACAAGCGG